UCUUCCGCUCUCGAGCUCAUCCAAGUGAUCGGGCUCUUCGGCUCUCGAGCUCAUCCAAGUGAUCGGGCUCUUCCGCUCUCGAGCUCAUCCAAGUGAUCGGGCUCUUCGGCUCUCGAGCUCAUCGGCCGAGACCAGAAGGCCGAGACCAGAGAGCCGAGACCAGAAGGCCGAGACCAGAAAGGCAACCCCGCGAGCCCAUGCCUUAGCCAAAUAUCCAAUCUCCGCCUAACCCUCCAAAGGAUCUGACAACUAGAUACAUGACUCCACUACAAUCCGCCACCAUCCCUAAGUCAUCAAGGCACGAGAUCUCCGCAGGUAUUCGGCACGACCUAUCAUUAAUGCCUGAGACCCCCUCAGGCCUCCGAUGCACUCAGUCAUUAAAUGAACACGGCUCAAGAUGAUCUCCGGAUCACUAAACCAUCAAAGCGUAUGGCUCUUCCUGACCGCCGGUUCACUCAGCAAUCAAUGCGCCUACCAUCUACGAACCCCAGGCCCACCACGGCCGGCGGUUCAACCACCCCAACGGGUCCGAUCAAUCGUGACAACUCC
rnacentral:lncRNA from 1 species